GACAACUGGAUCUGAAGCGUAAUGAUGGUCUUCAGAAGGCCUCUCAUGGUGGUCUUGAUUCAGAGGUUUGAGAAGACUACCAAGCACCAGAGCCAGCUAACAGGUGGACCAAACAUCAAGCCAGAAUUCUGCAUGAGUCAGAAUUUAUGUCUUUUGAUAUUAUUGCCUAAUGCAACAAAUGGAAAAAAGCAUACUUUAUGACAACCUUAGCAGCAGAACACCAUGACUUUCUCCUGGGUAGACGAGAAAAAAAGUUUGGUAUCAACACCCAUCUAACAAUUAAGAAAGUUAUCUACAGCCACACAUCCACUGUAUACCAAGUUAUGAUGAUCAAUUAUGAGAAUGCAAAAUGAUUUAUAGAUUAGUAAACAAUCAACAAAAAGGUAAUGUCUUAAUUAAUAUAUUUCUGCUUUUGUUACUUAUUCAUGUAUUUGAAUUACAUCAUUCAAAAUCAAAUGUUAAUAAUUAUAGGGUUUCAACUUGUUGCAGCUUUACAAAAAAUGUAGAAUUUGUAGGAGCAUGGACAACUGAGUAACAAAGUCAUAUUAUGCAGAUGGGUGCUCAUGGUGGCCUCCAAAUAAAUACAUGGACAGGCUGCUAAAGAGGGUCAGGAUGAUGGAGAUGAAAGAGCCAAAGACAGCACGGACCAAACACCAGGCCAGAAUUCUGCAUGAGUCAGCUGUAAAAAACAAAAGAAUGAAACAGUACCUGCAUUUUAGUUUCCAGCCUUUUUCACAAAGUUGCCGACAACUGGAAGAAUGUCCCAAAUUGCUGAAAAAAGAAAUUCAGUAAGUCCUUAUAAAAGAGACAGUUUAAAAGAUUGAGUAAUUUUCACUCUAGAGAACCUGGGGUGACCCCCAAGGACGAAUGAAAACUCCAGUGAGUGUCUCUAAGGUAGAUCCUAAUGCAGAUGGAUGGAAUGUUGAUCCGCCUAACAUGCAAGAUUUUCUGCACCGAGAACUUUGGAUGACCAUCAAGACAAGCACUCGUUUUGAGUCCUGAGACCCUGGGGUGACCACCGUGAACAAAUACAGACUGCAAAAAGGCAGUCUUGACGGUUCUAGGAUGAAUGCAAGUAAAGACUGACCACCUGACUUCAGCGGUCCAGUCUCUUGUGGGAAGCAGGUGUUUGUUACCCCAAAUACGGAUGAAGAGUGAUGAAGAGGAUGAUGACUU